rnacentral:rRNA from 1 species
GGACGAACGCUGGCGGCGUGCUUAACACAUGCAAGUCGAACGGAAAGGCCUCUUUCGGGGGGUACUCGAGUGGCGAACGGGUGAGUAACACGUGAGUAACCUGCCCUUGAUUUUGGGAUAACUUCAGGAAACAGGGGCUAAUACCGGAUAGGAACAUCUGCAGCCUGGUGGGGGUUGGAAAGUUUCGGCGGUUGGGGAUGGACUCGCGGCUUAUCAGCUUGUUGGUGGGGUAGUGGCUUACCAAGGCUUUGACGGGUAGCCGGCCUGAGAGGGUGACCGGCCACAUUGGGACUGAGAUACGGCCCAGACUCCUACGGGAGGCAGCAGUGGGGAAUAUUGCACAAUGGGUGGAAGCCUGAUGCAGCAACGCCGUGUGCGGGAUGACGGCCUUCGGGUUGUAAACCGCUUUCGCUCAUGACGAAGCUUUGUGUGACGGUAGUGGGUAAAGAAGCACCGGCUAACUACGUG